AACGAACGCUGGCGGCAGGCCUAACACAUGCAAGUCGAACGCCCCGCAAGGGGAGUGGCAGACGGGUGAGUAACGCGUGGGAAGCUACCCAAUUCUACGGAACAACUGAGGGAAACUUCAGCUAAUACCGUAUACGCCCUACGGGGGAAAGAUUCAUCGGAAUUGGAUGAGCCCGCGUUGGAUUAGCUAGUUGGUGGGGUAAUGGCCUACCAAGGCGACGAUCCAUAGCUGGUCUGGGAGGAUGAUCAGCCACACUGGAACUGAGACACGGCCCAGACUCCUACGGGAGGCAGCAGUGGGGAAUAUUGGACAAUGGGCGAAAGCCUGAUCCAGCCAUGCCGCGUGAGUGAUGAAGGCCUUAGGGUUGUAAAGCUCUUUCAGUGGGGAAGAUAAUGACGGUACCCACAGAAGAAGCCCCGGCUAACUUCGUGCCAGCCGCCGCCGUAA
rnacentral:rRNA from 1 species